rnacentral:rRNA from 1 species
GAUGAACGCUGGCGGCGUGCCUAAUACAUGCAAGUCGAGCGAACAGAUGAGGAGCUUGCUCCUCUGACGUUAGCGGCGGACGGGUGAGUAACACGUGGAUAACCUACCUAUAAGACUGGGAUAACUUCGGGAAACCGGAGCUAAUACCGGAUAAUAUAUUGAACCGCAUGGUUCAAUAGUGAAAGACGGUUUUGCUGUCACUUAUAGAUGGAUCCGCGCCGCAUUAGCUAGUUGGUAAGGUAACGGCUUACCAAGGCAACGAUGCGUAGCCGACCUGAGAGGGUGAUCGGCCACACUGGAACUGAGACACGGUCCAGACUCCUACGGGAGGCAGCAGUAGGGAAUCUUCCGCAAUAGGCGAAAGCCUGACGGAGCAACGCCGCGUGAGUGAUGAAGGUCUUCGGAUCGUAAAACUCUGUUAUUAGGGAAGAACAAAUGUGUAAGUAACUAUGCACGUCUUGACGGUACCUAAUCAGAAAGCCACGGCUAACUACGUG